GACGAACGCUGGCGGCGUGCCUAAUACAUGCAAGUCGAACGCAGUGGGGACGGGUGAGUAACAAGUGGCUAACCUCCCAUCAGAGGGGAUAACCCUUGGAAACAGGUGCUAAACCGAUACUGAUGGAUGGAACCGCGGUGCAUUAGAUAGUUGGUGAGGUAACGGCUCACCAAGGCAACGAUGCAUAGCCGACCUGAGAGGGUGAUCGGCCACACUGGGACUGAGACACGGCCCAGACUCCUACGGGAGGCAGCAGUAGGGAAUAUGCAGCAAUGGACGUAAGUCUGACCGAGCAACGCCGCGUGAGUGAAGAAGGUUUUCGGAUCGUAAAACUCUGUUGUUAGAGAAGCGGGAUCUAACCAGAAAGCCACGGCUAACUCCGUGCCAGCCGCCGCGGUAAUUC
rnacentral:rRNA from 1 species